rnacentral:misc_RNA from 1 species
GAUGAAGAACGCAGCUAAAUGCGAUAAGUAAUGCGAAUUGCAGAAUCCGUGAGUCAUCGAAUCUUUGAACGCACAUUGCGCCCCUUGGUUAUUCCGAAGGGCAUGCCUGUUCGAGCGUCAUUAUCACCCCUCAAGCCCCGGCUUGGUGUUGGGCCUCUCGUCCCCGCGGCGCCCCGUCUAGGGGUGCGCGUGGGACGGGCCCCAAAGACCUCGGCGGCGCGGUCCUGCUCCGGGCGUAGCAGCAUAUACCUCGCUCGUGGGGUCAGGACCGGCGCCUCAGCCGCUAAAAUUGGGGAAGGGGGACCUCGCGCCCCCUCUCCCUCAUUCUCAGGUUGACCUCGAAUCAGGUGGGGAUACCCGCUGAACUUAAGCAUAUCAAUAAGCGGAGGA